rnacentral:snRNA from 1 species
GUGCUCGCUUUGGCAGCACAUAUACUAAAAUUGGAACGAUACGGAGAAGAUUAGCAUGGCCCCUGCACAAGGAUGACACGUAAAUUCGUGAAGCGUUCCAUAUUUUU